rnacentral:lncRNA from 1 species
GAGUGCUGGGUUGGGCUUCCAGCUCCCUACAACGCAGAACAGUACUGGAGUUCGUGGAGCUGGAAGACUGCUGCCCGACUCUGGGCCCCGGGUAGGAAACAACAAUUUCAGACCUCCUGGGGUCUAUGCUAGGUAUAAGGUGUAUCCUUGUCCUCCAUCAAGUAGCAAAGAUAGACAUGUAAACAAAUUUUGACACUGUGAUGACUGCCACAAAAAGCAGCAUUAUGAGGUUGAAUGUAAAAGGAUAACAUUAGCGGCGGCGGGGGCCGGAGGAUGAAGGAAGGCUUCCUGAGGUAGGCGCUGGCGAAACUGAAGUUGGAGAGAGCAAGUGGCAUUUGCUGAAGUGCAUUUUCCGGUAGAAAACUCCAGUGGUCCCUCACCUGACUGAGUGGCGCAGUCAGAGAUAAAUGGAACAGAGUCUACAAAUAAACAUUUUAUAAAGAUGGUCCUUCAAUACAUAUUCUACAGCCCAGUUAAAAUGUGAGAGGCCAUGAUCUAUAGGCAGCCAUUUAUAAAGGUAGAUCGGGGCCGGGCACGGUGGCUCACGUCUGUAAUCCCGGCACUCUGGGAGGCCGAAGCGGGAGGAUCGCUUGAGCUCAGGAGUUCAAAACCAAUCUGGCCAACAUGGUGAGACCCCA